AUUAAAAACCCUAACCCUAACCUCCUUAUCCCCACCGCCAUGCCUCCACAGCUACCACUCACCCCUCCCUUUUACCCUUUCUUCUUCAAUAAAGACAAACACACCCACACCCUCCUAUGUUUCCUUCAGCAGCCGCCAUCCCAUUUCCCUUCCCCCUCCCCCCUCUUCACUGAGUGCACAUACAUCACCAUCAAGAGAGAGAUCCGGAGAAGAAGCAACUACCAUCGCACCGCCCCACGCCCUGGAGCUCGCCAUCGAACCAUGCGUUGCUGCUAUGGGCUCGCCGCCGUCGAAGUUCCGUCGCCAACCAUGGAGCCGUGAGAUGCAUCGCCGUCGAGAGAGAGCAUCACGCUGAGGGAGAACCAACCGGAGAAAGGGAGAGGCGUCGUGUCUACUGCGAGCCCGCUGCUUAAGGAAGCAGUUGCCAUCGUCACCCUUAUCGCGACCUGUCACCGUCACUGGAGCCAGCCAUCUUCAUCGCCGUUCAUGCCGUCACCGUUCCUCGCCACUGCUGAGCCGUCGUCGGGCUGUGCACCGCCACGUAGGGCCAUUUCCAAUUGGCGCCGUGGCUGGUGGUUGCCUCUGCUUUCGGUGUAAGCAUCCCGUCGGAGCUCAGUCACCGUUCUACUCUCCGGAAGUUGUCACCGGAGCUGCGACUGCUCCGGUCUUGGUUCCUUGUUAUGCAGGUUAAGCUACGGUCCUUGUGUGCUGUGUUUAGAGGUUGUGACUGUUGCGAGGAUGGUCGGAUUUGACGCUGCUGCUAUGAAUCAAAGUUUUAAGGGUUUUGUCGCGUAGUUAGUUGCGAACGAGGUAGGGGUCUUUUUCAGAAAACUAUACUUUAUAAAUUGGAAUUAUUAUAUAUGGAUAUUUAUGUGAGAAAUGCACUUCUAAUGAUUGUAUAUGUCUUAUGUAUUGCUUGAUUGACUUGGAUGGAUAUGACUGCUUGUUUGAUUGGAUUACUGUUUGGUUUGUGAAACGGACAGUUCUUGAAGCAUU